CGGAUCUUCUCUGAAGGCGGGAGGAAGAAGAAGAAGAAAAAAGAAAAAGAAAAGGAAAAGAAAAGAAAAGACACGUUGUUGUUGGUGUUCGGGCAAUAGCGCUGCAGGAAUAUUGCACGACAUUUGUCAUCUGGUCCCUGGAAAACAUUCUCUGGCUUUGACAUUGUAAGUAUCAUAAUUGCCUUUUUUAACUUGAAGCCAGAUAAUGUCAUGUCCAGUGUUUUUUUUGUAAUUUGCUUCAUUGUGGAUUAGUGCCUCUUGAGGCAGAAGAAUGCCCAUGACUGUGGAAUCUUCAUGUUGAUGGUAUAUGACCAAUUCAAUUCAUAUUAGAAAUUUACUCUUAGAACAUAUUUUUACAUAUCUAUAAUUUGUAUUGUAUGCAAGACUCAAAAGUAACCAUGAAGUGGUUUUUUCUAUAGUAUGCACUGUAUCUAGUCCUGGUUGCCCCCUUUGAUUUUACCGAGGUAAGUUUCAACUUGCAUGUUAAUAUUCUUACACUGUUGCACAUUUAGAGAAAAAUGGGUUGGGUGUGGGCCAUCGUUUUUAAACUUACAGUGCAUCACUAUUUUUCCAGUAGUAAUUAAAGCCUUCCUUUUGAUAAUUCAUACAAUCAAAUACUGUACAUGUUGAUAGUGUCGUGCAUAAACCAGAUUAAUUACAACAUUAAAAACCUUUCUUUACACCCCCUGUGACGUUUAUUUAGCUAUGACGUUUAGAAUGACAUGCCAGAAGUGCGAAAGUGGUGGUGUGUAAUGUUGCUUGAAAACUCCAACCCCAGAGGGUAACUAACAAACAUAAAUUUCCCUUAAUAUCUGUUACAUGAAGUUGUGUGGAAGCCAUGAUUAGCCAUGUUGUAAAUCAAAUAACAGUAAAGCAAAAUGUUGUCUUCAUCACGUAACUAUUGACUUCAUUUUUCUUUUUAAAAUCAUUGAAGGAAAUAUUCACAUUGGACCUUGCAAGCAACUGCUCUGUUGACCAAAGGUCAAUAUGUACAAGAAGUGGAAGAUACAUUUAUGGUGCACCAGCUGGACAGUGAACUUUGUAUGGAUAAAGUACUAUGUUGCAUGGUUAUUGCAUUGGAAAACCAUUGAAAACUUGUGGGGAUUAAUUGUCAAUUUGAGAGGCUUGAAUUAAGAUGUUUGUGUGAUGUGUGUACUAUAAGCAUGUCCUAUUGGCUUUUUAAAAAGGUGUUUGCCAUAGCUGAACAUUAAAAGAAGUGUUUGAUUUUUUUUGUUAGACCUAAGACAAGUAAAGCCUUGCACUAAACUCAAAAAUCCAAAGAUUUGCAUUACAAACCAUCGAGACAUUUCAGUUUCUUUGUCUGUAGAAGUAACUUCAGCCUCAGCCACCACAACAUAGAGUCUGGACAAUUGGGUAUGCAUAUACAUUUUCUGAACAUUACAAAAAAAGAUGAAUUAUAUUUUGUUUUUGCUUUGGCUGUCCUCUAUACAGUAUAGGGUUAGGGUUGGGAGUUAGUACAGUAUAAUGAUGUCAGUCUAACCAAACAUUUUCAAAAGUAAAUGUUAUUUAAUCAUAACAUAACACUGCAUUCAACACUUGUAAUUACAGUGACAUUGCCACAGAAUGUUAACAAGACAUGCUAAUAAGUCACAUUGCAAGUACCUUGUGCACACUAUUUGUAGAUGAACAUAUUUGUGGUGUUGAUAACCAGACAUUUUUUUUUAUAAAACAGAGGUUGUUAAAACUGUGUCCUUCCUUGUUGAGGGCCUUUACAGCCUUUUUGUCUGACUCACUUUUUAAAAAAUCAUCUACCUCUAUCAGUACAUAAAGAUAGAUGAUGUAGUCUCUAUAAUAUACAUUUUUGCUUGUAGGCAGUUGUCAGGGGGACAGAUACAGCUUUGUGGCAUGAUGCGGAUGGCUUGGCCUGCGUAUGGUUCGAUUAAGCAAUAGCUCACGACAGGCCAUGGUAUACGCUUCACUGUGACCAACACCACCUUAUCAGAGUUGUUGGAUUCCACUCCUCCACGCAGAGCCAUAAAAGACAGGGUGAAAUAUAUUUUGGAUGCCCUGCUACCCGAGGCCACCCUUCAUUCGCUUGCUGCCGUCAACUGUAUUUCCCUGGACAGAGCCAAAAGGUUGUAUCAACAGGGUAGACAGUAUGACAAGAGGUGAGAUCAAGACAUUUAUUUGUAAUGUACACAUUGCUUGUCCUUAGCUAUGUUUCACCCAUUUCAAUUGUAAUGGCCCCCAACUGAUUUUAAUUUAAUAAUUAAAGCUGCAAGC